GGCCCUAUCACACCGAAACACCAGUUCUCCUUUGAUUUCCGCAGUUAAGCAACAUUGAGUCUGAUCAGUAUCUAGAUGGGUGAUUGCUUGGAAAUAGCAGGUACUGUAAG